UCCCCUUCCUCUCACUGUAUCUUUGCUUUCUUGCUUUCUUUCUUUCUUUCUCUCUUUUCUUUUUUUCUUUUUCAUCCUGUUGUGUUUUUUUUAGUCAAGCGAGAAACUAUUGUGUGUGUUUUUUCACCCGUUUUCUUUUAGUCCCCCUCUCUCUUAUGGUAUUAUAGAAAACGUGACAUGUGAGGUUGUGUAUUGUAUUCACUGGUGUAUAGAGAGAUUAGAGAGAGAGAGAGAGAGAGAGAGAGAGAGAGAGAGAGAGAGAGAGAGAUAGAGAGAGAGAGAGAGAGAGAGAGAGAGA